UACCCGCAGCACAAGUGGUGGUCAUUAUUAUUGGGCCUAAAGCGUCCGUAGCUGGCUUGUUAGAUGCCUGGGUAAAUCGAUGCGCUUAACGCAUCGAAUUCCGGGUAGACCGGCAAGCUCGAGACCGGGAGAGGUGUAGGGUACUCGGGGGGUAGGGGUAAAAUCCUGUAAUCCUCCGGGGACGACCAGUGGCGAAGGCGCUACACUAGAACGGCUCUGACAGUGAGGGACGAAGCCCUGGGG
rnacentral:rRNA from 1 species